GCAUUGGUGGUCUAGUGGUAGAAUUUCCCCCUUCCAUGUAGGAUCUCCCUUCCAUGCAGGAGACCCUGGUUGGAUUCCUGGCCAAUGCA
rnacentral:tRNA from 1 species